rnacentral:rRNA from 1 species
GUUUUAAAGGGUGCGCAGGCGGCUUGUUAAGCGGGGAGGUGAAAUGCCCGGCGCUCAACGUCGGAAGUGCCUCCCCGAACUGGUGAGCUUGAAUGACUCUGCCGUGGGAGGAAUGUGUAGUGUAGCGGUGAAAUGCUUAGAGAUUACACAGAACACCGAUUGGCGAAGGCAUCUCACGAAGGGUUGAUUGACGCUGAGGCACGAAAGCGUGGGGAUCAAACAGGGAUUAGAUACCCUGGUAGUCCACGCAGUAAACGAUGAUGGCUAACCGCUGGGUCAUACGAUUCAGUGGCCAAGCGAAAGCGAUAAGCCAUCCACCUGGGGAGUACGACCGCAAGGUUGAAACUCAAAGGAAUUGACGGGGGCCCGCACAAGCGGAGGAACAUGUGGUUUAAUUCGAUGAUACGCGAGGAACCUUACCCGGGCUCGAACGGCUGGUGAAGAGAUCCAGAGAUGGUGACGUCCUUCGGGACACCAGUCGAGGUGCUGCAUGGUUGUCGUCAGCUCGUGCCGUGAGGUGUCGGCUCAAGUGCCAUAACGAGCGCAACCCUUGCCGUCAGUUACCAUCAAGUAGUGUUGGGGACUCUGGCGGGACUGCCACCGCAAGGUGUGAGGAAGGGGGGGAUGACGUCAAAUCAGCACGGCCCUUACGUCCGGGGCGACACACGUGUUACAAUGGCGGCCACAGAGGGGCACUACCUGGCGACAGGAUGGGAAUCUCGAAAAGCCGUCUCAGUCCGGAUCGGAGUCUGCAACCCGACUCCGUGAAGCUGGAUUCGCUAGUAAUCGCGCAUCAGCCAUGGCGCGGUGAAUACGUUCCCGGGCCUUGUACACACCGCCCGUCAAGCCAUGAAAGUCUGGGGCGCCUGAAGUCCGUGACCGAGAGGAGCGGCCUAGGGCGAAACAGGUAAUUGGGGCUAAGUCGUAACAAGGUAA